UACGUAGGUGGCAAGCGUUGUCCGGAAUCAUUGGGCGUAAAGCGCGCGUAGGCGGCCCGGUAAGUCCGCUGUAAAAGUCCAGGGCUCAACCCUGGAAAGCCGGUGGAUACUGUCGGGCUCGAGUCCGGAAGAGGCGAGUGGAAUUCCUGGUGUAGCGGUGGAAUGCGCAGAUAUCAGGAGGAACACCGAUGGCGAAGGCAGCUCGCUGGGACGGUACUGACGCUGAGGCGCGAAAGCGUGGGGAGCGAACAGG
rnacentral:rRNA from 1 species